UUAAGUGACUAAGCGUACACGGUGGAUGCCUUGGCAGUUGGAGGCGAUGAAGGACGUACUAACUUGCGAUAAGCCUAGUCAAGCCAGUAAGAGGCGCUUGAGACUAGGAUUUCCGAAUGGGGAAACCCACCUGCUUGCAGGUAUCGUUAACUGAAUACAUAGGUUAACGAGGCGAACGCGGAGAACUGAAACAUCUAAGUACCCGUAGGAAAAGAAAUCAACCGAGAUUCCGAAAGUAGCGGCGAGCGAAAUCGGAGCAGCCCUUAAGCUUUAGUGUAGUUAGUGGAAGAUGCUGGAAAGCAUGACGAAACAGGGUGAUAGUCCCGUACACAAAAACUUAUCUAAAGUGAAAUCGAGUAGGUCGGAGCACGUGAAACUUUGACUGAAUAUGGGGGGACCAUCCUCCAAGGCUAAAUACUCCCAACUGACCGAUAGUGAACCAGUACCGUGAGGGAAAGGCGAAAAGAACCCCUGUGAGGGGAGUGAAAUAGAACCUGAAACCGUGUACGUACAAGCAGUAGGAGCCUACUUGUUGGGUGACUGCGUACCUUUUGUAUAAUGGGUCAGCGACUUAUAUUCUGUAGCGAGGUUAACCAUUUAGGGGAGCCGUAGCGAAAGCGAGUCUUAACUGGGCGCUUAAGUUGCAGGGUAUAGACCCGAAACCCGGUGAUCUAGCCAUGGGCAGGUUGAAGGUUGAGUAACAUCAACUGGAGGACCGAACCCACUAACGUUGAAAAGUUAGGGGAUGACCUGUGGCUAGGAGUGAAAGGCUAAUCAAACCGGGAGAUAGCUGGUUCUCCCCGAAAUCUAUUUAGGUAGAGCCUCGGACGAAUACUUACGGGGGUAGAGCACUGUUAAGGCUAGGGGGUCAUCCCGACUUACCAACCCUUUGCAAACUCCGAAUACCGUAAAGUAAUAUCCGGGAGACACACGGCGGGUGCUAACGUCCGUCGUGGAGAGGGAAACAACCCAGACCGUCAGCUAAGGUCCCAAAGUGUAUGUUAAGUGGGAAACGAUGUGGGAAGGCUAAAACAGCUAGGAGGUUGGCUUAGAAGCAGCCACCCUUUAAAGAAAGCGUAAUAGCUCACUAGUCGAGUCGGCCUGCGCGGAAGAUGUAACGGGGCUAAACAUACCACCGAAGCUACGGCUGCGUACGUAAGUAUGCGGGGUAGGGGAGCGUUCUGUAAGUGGCUGAAGGUGUGCCGGGAGGCAUGCUGGACAUAUCAGAAGUGCGAAUGCUGACAUGAGUAACGACAAGAGGAGUGAAAAACUCCUCCGCCGGAAGACCAAGGGUUCCUAUCCCAUGUUAAUCAGGGUAGGGUGAGUCGACCCCUAAGGCGAGGCUGAAGAGCGUAGUCGAUGGGAAACGGGUUAAUAUUCCCGUACUCGGUAUGAAUGCGAUGGGGGGACGGAGCAGGCUAGGCAAGCAUGGCGUUGGUUGUCCAUGUGAAAGGCUGUAGGCUGGUGACUUAGGAAAAUCCGGGUUGCUAAGGCUGAGAGUCGAGACGAGCCACUAAGGUGGUGAAGUUGUUGAUGCCCUACUUCCAGGAAAAGCCUCUAAGCUUCAGUUCAUACUGAAUCGUACCCUAAACCGACACAGGUGGUCAGGUAGAGAAUACUAAGGCGCUUGAGAGAACUCGGGUGAAGGAACUAGGCAAAAUUGUACCGUAACUUCGGGAGAAGGUACGCUCUUGUUUGUGAAGGACUUGCUCUGUAAGCAAACGAGAGCCGCAGUGACCAGGUGGCUGGGACUGUUUAUUAAAAACACAGCACUGUGCAAAAUCGUAAGAUGACGUAUACGGUGUGACACCUGCCCGGUGCCGGAAGGUUAAUUGAUGGGGUUAGCUUAGGCGAAGCUCUUGAUCGAAGCCCCGGUAAACGGCGGCCGUAACUAUAACGGUCCUAAGGUAGCGAAAUUCCUUGUCGGGUAAGUUCCGACCUGCACGAAUGGUGUAACCAUGGCCACGCUGUCUCCACCCGAGACUCAGUGAAAUUGAAAUCGCAGUGAAGAUGCUGUGUACCCGCGGCUAGACGGAAAGACCCCGUGAACCUUUACUACAGCUUGGCACUGAACAUUGACCCUACAUGUGUAGGAUAGGUGGGAGGCUUUGAAGCAGGAACGCUAGUUUCUGUGGAGCCGACCUUGAAAUACCACCCUUGUAGUGUUGAUGUUCUAACUUAGGCCCCUGAAUCGGGGUUGAGGACAGUGCCUGGUGGGUAGUUUGACUGGGGCGGUCUCCUCCCAAAGAGUAACGGAGGAGCACGAAGGUUUGCUAAGUACGGUCGGACAUCGUACGGUUAGUGUAAUGGUAGAAGCAAGCUUAACUGCGAGACAGACACGUCGAGCAGGUACGAAAGUAGGUCAUAGUGAUCCGGUGGUUCUGAAUGGAAGGGCCAUCGCUCAACGGAUAAAAGGUACUCCGGGGAUAACAGGCUGAUACCGCCCAAGAGUUCAUAUCGACGGCGGUGUUUGGCACCUCGAUGUCGGCUCAUCACAUCCUGGGGCUGAAGUCGGUCCCAAGGGUAUGGCUGUUCGCCAUUUAAAGUGGUACGCGAGCUGGGUUUAGAACGUCGUGAGACAGUUCGGUCCCUAUCUGCCGUGGGCGUUUGAGAAUUGAGAGGGGCUGCUCCUAGUACGAGAGGACCGGAGUGGACGAACCRCUGGUGUUCGGGUUGUGAUGCCAAUUGCAUUGCCCGGUAGCUACGUUCGGAACUGAUAACCGCUGAAAGCAUCUAAGCGGGAAGCAGGCCUYGAGAUGAGUUCUCACUUUGACUUAGAGUCAACUGAAGGGCCGUUGAAGACUACAACGUUGAUAGGCGAGAUGUGGAAGUGCUGUGAGGCAUUAAGCUAACUCGUACUAAUUACCCGAGAGGCUUAACCAU
rnacentral:rRNA from 1 species